GCCACCGUAACUCAGUUGGUAGAGUAGCUGAUUCGUAAUCAGUCUGUCGGAGGUUCGACUCCUCUCGGUGGCUCUA
rnacentral:tRNA from 1 species